rnacentral:rRNA from 1 species
UUAAGGUAAAGCCUGCCCAUGUUUUAAUCAAUGGCCGCGGUAUCCUGACCGUGCGAAGGUAGCAUAAUCAUUAGUCUCUUAAUUAGAGGCUGGUAUGAACGGCUAAACGAGAAAAGUACUGUCUCUAGUAGAAUAAUUGAAAUUCAUUAUUAAGUGAAAAAGCUUAAAUUUUUCUGAAGGACGAUAAGACCCUAUAGAGCUUUAUUUCCUUACCAUUAAAAUUUACAAGAUGUUAUAAAUUUAAUUUAAAAGAAAUUUUGUUGGGGCGACAGAAAGAAAAUAUCUAACUCUUCAUUAUUUAAACAGCAAUUGCUGAUUAACAAGAUCCUCAAAGUGAGAUCAAAAGAACAAGUUACCUUAGGGAUAACAGCGUAAUCCUUUCUGAGAGUUCUCAUCGACGAAAGGGUUUGCGACCUCGAUGUUGGAUUAAGAAAUUACCCAGGUGCAGCCGCUUAGGUAAAAGGUCUGUUCGACCUUUAAAUUCUUACAUGAUC